rnacentral:rRNA from 1 species
CCUACGGGCGGCAGCAGUGAGGAAUAUUGGUCAAUGGUCGGGAGACUGAACCAGCCAAGCCGCGUGAGGGAUGACGGUACAGCGUAUCGUAAACCUCUUUUGUCAGGGAACAAAGGCGGGGACGUGUCCCCGGAUGAGUGUACCUGAAGAAAAAGCAUCGGCUAACUCCGUGCCAGCAGCCGCGGUAAUACGGAGGAUGCGAGCGUUAUCCGGAUUUAUUGGGUUUAAAGGGUGCGCAGGCGGUCUGUUAAGUGAGCGGUCAAAGCCCGGGGCUCAACCCGGGCCCGCCGUUGAAACUGGCAGUCUUGAGUUGGAGAGAAGUAUGCGGAAUGCGCGGUGUAGCGGUGAAAUGCAUAGAUAUCGCGCAGAACUCCGAUUGCGAAGGCAGCAUGCCGGCUCCAAACUGACGCUGAGGCACGAAAGCGUGGGUAUCGAACAGGAUUAGAUACCCCUGUAGUC